UGGAUGGAGCCCAUUUGCCUUGCAGUGGGGACAAGCCCUGGGCGCUACACUGGCCGUGGCUGUCGGUCUUUCCUCCUCGUAUUUUGAUCACACAGCUCAGCUGUCAUCGUAGUGGGCUAGCGCACAUGCUGUAAAAGUAACUUCGGAACAGUGAUUUAAUUUGGCUGCUUUUUCCUGUUUCACAAAGUCUUUUAAAGAUCAGUUUUGAAGCAAGCUGCAGGGACCCAUUUGUAGUCCUUCCAUGACAAAUGCAAACUAACACUCUUGUUUUUUCUGUUUGUAUAUGAUGUGACUUCCAUGUAUAUAUAAAAACAACUGCGUCCUAACCAAACUUCCUCCAAUUGUGCACUGUUUGUUUAAAGAAUCCAUGUAUUGUAGUCUGAUGCAGGUUUUAUUUUCUUUUAUUUAAAACACUACAUAUUUUCGCCUAUUCUUCACAAAUUUGAAAGGGUAGUGAUCUGAAAACCGAAAUCACUGGAUAGCUAGGAAGUUUUGGUUUUUUUUGUUUUGGUUUUAUUUUUAAAAGAGAGCAAAGGUGCCUGAGCGGUUUUGCUCUUCUCAGCAGGAAAGAGAAAUGUUAGCCGUUGUAUGGCUAAGAACCCAUGCACUUGGGGCCUGAUCCAGAACCCACUGGAGUUGAUGCGGGGCUUUCCAUUGUCUUCAGUGUGCAUUGGCUCAAGCCCUCCAUGGUUUAGCAGUUCCUGUAUUGCUGAAGUGUGAACUUGGAAUCUUCUGUAGUGAAGAUGAAUCGUUGCUUAGAAGAUAAAUGUUUAAAAUGUGCGACGCUAGUUAAAAAAAAUUGAUUCUUCUCAACACUCAUUAUUUAGUUCUCAUUUUCCAUCUAGUAUUUAAUGGUCUUUGGAGAAAAAAAUAAUAAUAAAACAGAGUGUUAUAUAUAUAUAAAAAUAUAUAUAUUUUUGGUGCAAGAUGAGACCACCUGUUUUUUGAAACAAGUCUGUAGCAUAAAGGUUAAACUAUUUUAAGACAAAAUAAAAUAGAGUGUAUUAUUUAAACAAUAUAAACUUGUUUGGGACUUUUUUUCCCUGCUUUCAUUGAGUGCGCUGCUGUUUGUCACAUCUGCAAAUUGAGGCCGUAGGAAAAUUCAGAUUUUUGUGCCCAAAUUCAGCACUGCUCCCUGCAUUUAAUUUUGAUCAUACAGAAUAUAAAUGUGAUUUCCUGACCACAAAAGCUUGCUUUUAUCUCCCAGAUGGAGGCAGGACCACGGCUUCUCUCGUAGCACUGCUGGGGGAUGCCAGGGGAUGCUUCGGUAGCAGGGAUGAGUGGCUGCUGCCCAUUGCGCUGCAGAAUCCCUUCUAGGGAUGUGGUUUCUGCACAUCCUCCAUCUCCCCACACAUCCCAGUCCUUCACAUGCCUGAGAAACCUUUAUACCAGUAUUUCUCUGACCGCUUUCCCUUAUCCCAUCCUCAGAGCUGGUCAGUAAGACUGUUUGACUAAGAGACCAACAUUACACUUGGAUUUUCUCACGCAGCUGCGGACGAGCUGGGAUCUACUGCCAUUUGAAAUGGAUGGGUUGAGCAGCUCCGAAGCCCUGGGCAGGUCCUCGCGGGCACGAGAGGUGGUGCCAGGCUGCCACUAAGUGACAAAUGCCUGGGAGAAACAGCCUCAAGCGAAGAGAGGGGACAGGUCUUCGUCUGUGAAUGGCAGCUGCUGUGCCUUUCUCUCCAGAGCAUCACAGGGAUGCAGUUUCCCUUCUGUCUGCAAAGGAAUGGAGCAGCACGCCUGCAAAAUGCCAGCUUGCAGCAGCCAAACCCUGCUUUUACUUUCAUCUUUGGUGCAAAUAAGCUCUAAUGGGAUCCGUCGUCUGCACGAAGAGCCACAGUGAGGCUUUCUGCGAUGAUGGGAUGGAAACCACCUUGUCUGGGCUGUCCUCCUCGUGGUCAGCAGUGCAUCCCCAAAAGGAAGAUACCCCCUCUUCAUCUCCAGCAAGGGAGAAGGGCACCUUAAGAAAACUAAUCUUCACUUAAAGCAGUGAUAUGGGUUAAUGAACCGAUUUGGGCAAAACAAAACUCUUCUGGGCAUUCGCAAUUGAAUCUUGAAGGCGAGGGACUGCACUUGCUGAGCUUCCCAUCUUAUCGCAUGGGAACAAGGAAUGACAGAGACAUCUUUGCAAUGUGGGGCACCGAUGAGGAGGGGACGCGUGGGAGUGGGAUGUCACUGACGGCAGUGGGUGGUGACUCCUUAACUGCUCCUCCAUCUUUGCCUCUUCCAUCUGGUGGAGAUCCCCGAGCCCUGGGCAGAAGGGUCAUCUCCAGCAGAAUGGAGACAGACAGCCAAAACCUCGUCUUGUAAGCAUGCCCCUGGUGGGGAUGGUCUUUUUUUCUCAGAGAAGGUGGGAGAUGCAUCCCAAGGAGGAAAAAAUGCAGAUUUGGGUAUUUUGUCAAACCGUUUAUUUCAGGUAGUUAUUUAUUAUCAUUUAUUUCUGAUAGUUCCUUACGCAUGCUGAGUCUUUUCUUGGAUUGUUAGUAGCAUGUUUCCCAUCCCAUGCCGAACAUUAGGCUGGAUAAGCAGUGAUGGGAGCUCACCCUUGGUCUGUGGAAGCACCAGAGCUCUUCAGAGGCUUUUUUUCAGCUCCAGACAGGUAAGAGAUGGAAAGAUUCCAGACAAAAUCCUGGCAGACCAUCAGAAAUGGAAGCACUGGCUUGUAGAAACACUCUCAUUUCUGCCCUUUGUGUGACCAGCCUCCCAAAUUAAAAAAAGUCCCUGAAACAAUAAAAAUCCCAUCACUGGGUGUCACUAUGUAUCCACAAAUCAAGUCUGGCCCAGUAAUGCAUGAUGUGGGACCCAGGAUUGUGUAGGAGAAGUAGCGUAUAUAACGUACGCCCUUCUCUAGGUUCUCAAGGGUGGGUGGAGGUCUGCUCCAACAGCCCCAGGAUGUACUAAAUGACACCUAGGACAAUUGUGGGGGUUUUUGGUGUCUGUUGCCUCCACAGGAGGUGUGAGGCUGCUCAAAUGAUCAUGCAUUACUUAGGCUGGAGCGAGUAAGCAGAUGCCUUCCCUUGAAUAAUUGAAGAUUGUGUAUUUACCUGUGCUGGAGCACUUAUUUGCCAUGAGUGUGUUGUAGACAUAUUCUUGAUGAUGAGCAUGACCCAAACCCAAAACAGCUCUUCGACUCCUUUUGUGCAACCAAGCCCAUGCCACCACCUCAGGCCCUGAGAUAUCAUAGAAUCACAGAAUCACAGAAUGGUUUGUGUUGGAAGGGACUUUAAAGACCCUCUGCCGUGGGCAGGGACACCUCCCACUGGAUCAGGUUGCUCAAAGCCUCAUCCAACCUGGCCUGGAACACCUCCAGGGAUGGGGCAGCCACAACUUCCCUGGGCAACCUGGGCCAGUGUCUCACCACUCCCAUAGCGAAGAGUUUCUCCCUAUUGUCUGAUCUAAAUCUCCUCCUUCUGAUUUAAAGCCAUCUCUCCUCAUCCCGUCACUCCAUGCCCUUGUAAAAACUCCCUCCCCAGCUUUCCUGGAGCCCCUUUCAGUACUAGAAGUUGGUCUAGUGUCUCCUUGGAGCCUUCACUUCUCCUGGCUGAACCACCCCGACUCUCUCAGCUUGUCCUCAGAGCUCCAGCCCUCGGAUCAUCUUUGUAGCCUCCUCUGGACCCGUUCCAGCAGUUUCAUGUCCUUCUUAUGUUGGGAAUUCCAGAAGUGGACACAGGACUCCUAGUAUGAUGCCUAUGAUGUGAUUAAGGGACCAGAGUCCAGCGUGUUGCCCCACAGCUGCUGUUGGCAGUUGUAGAACAAUUCUCAGUAUCAUUCCUGGUUCAUUUGGGGUUUAUUCUUUCCAUCUUGUUUUCACUAGUCUGGGUGGGUUCUCCCAGGGGUUUCCCCUAGUUUUGAAAACCACUGUCCCCCCUGAGGUCACCUUCAGGGUAACCCAGGGCAGACUCAAGCCUCUAGGAGACAAUGUUGGAAAGCUGGAGGCUUAAGGCACCCAGAGCAAGAAAGAAAAUUUAGCGAGUAAAUGCAAGGGAUAACUUCAAAAGGCAGCUCACAGUGUGCCUUGGACAAGACUCGAUGAGUUGAAAAUGCUGUUUAGUUUAUCUCGUCUGUUGCAAACAGAGGAUGAACCUGUGGUGCACAACUGACCAUCCUCCACACCUCAUGAGAAUGCUUGAGGACUUCUUCUGUGGCUGGGAUGCUGCUAGAACAUCGCUUCAGGCCAUCACAAACCUCAUCCCAGGCCUGGAACAGCUCUUUGCAGCCAACCUUCUGCGGGACAACUCUACACAGGGAGCCCCAAACCCUAACCCUCUCCAUGGAGAGUUGUCCCCUUCCACCUCAUCCUACUUGAAGCCGCAGAACCAAUGCUUCCUUGCACAACGUCUCCUCCCCAAGCUGCUUCUGAAGAGGAAGAAUUAGGACGAUAUUUAAGGCGGUCUCACCCGGGCAUGGCACAAGGCAGAGAGCACACCUUCCAGGAGGGGCUGAGCUCCUUGCCCGCCAAAAGGAUGUCAUUGAGAUGGAUCACACCCCAGUAAGCAGCAGCACCACAUGCAACAGCCAAGUUUUCGGAGGAGCAAUACUGAGAUCCCCCAGCCUUCGAUGGCAGUACGCUGAAAUAUCUCAUUUUCAUUUUAAGCAAAUGCAUACUGAUUUUCUCCACCCUGCCUCUCAUUUUUUUUGAGAAAACACAGAAAACCCAAAGAGAGUA